UCAUGUGAUACCAUACGAGAACGACAUUAGAAGCAGUGUACCAUACCAUAAGGAAAACAGCAUUAUUGGCUACAGGUCUCUUAUCUUCAGUGGUGAUCAUGAUAUGGUGUCGCCUACCAUUGCAACUCAAGCCUGGAUAAAAUCUCUCAAUUAUUCCAUCAUUCAUGACUGGCAGCCUUGGACGAUAAACUAUGAGAUCGCUGGAUACACGAGGACUUAUUCGAAUAAGAUGACAUUUGCUACUGUCA